UACAGAGACUGCAAGCGUUAUUCGGAUUCACUGGGCGUAAAGGGUGCGCAGGCGGCCAAGUGUGUCAGGUGUGAAAUCCCGAGGCUUAACCUCGGAACUGCGCCUGAAACUACUUGGCUAGAGUACUGGAGAGGGUAACGGAAUUCACGGUGUAGCAGUGAAAUGCGUAGAUAUCGUGAGGAACACCAGAGGCGAAGGCGGUUACCUGGACAGUUACUGACGCUCAGGCACGAAAGCGUGGGGAGCAAAAGGGAUUAGAUACCCCUGUAGUCCACGCCCUAAACGGUGCACACUAGGUCUUGGCGGAUUCGAUCCCACCAGGGCCCAAGCUAACGCGUUAAGUGUGCCGCCUGAGGACUACGGUCGCAAGACUAAA
rnacentral:rRNA from 1 species